rnacentral:snRNA from 1 species
GUGCUCACUUGGGCAGCACAGAGACUAAAAUUGGAAUGAUACAUAGAAUAUUAGUAUCAUUCCAAUUUUAGUCUCUGUGCUGCCCAAGUGAGCACUAUAUUUUGUGUGAGGAUGACACACAAAUUUGUAAAGCACUCCAUAUUUUU